CAGUGAGGUAUCUGGGGUGUCCCCAUGGUGCUUCUCUGUCCCUCCGUGGCUGGCUCAUAGAUGCUCUGCUUCACUGCAAACACAGUUGGAAGUGGGUCUCAUUUCCACCUUGAGCAGUAUCUUUGAAUGAAUCCUUUUGGAUCAUUAGUCCUCACUGAACAUGGUGAGUUCUCUGCAGACUGUCCAUUUGCAAGAGGUCCGGGCGGGAGGGGGUCAGAGCAGUGCCCUAGGACUGAUGGCGUAGCCUGGCUCUCAGCAGAGCCUCACAGAUCUGCGCACCUGGCGGGACCACUCACCUGGCUGUACCUGGACCUCUGCCUGCCGCCAACAGAGCCCACCAGCCGGCACAAGUCCAUCCCAAGCUAGAGGGGUCUGGCCCCCCCUUUCUGUCAGUUCCUGUUUUCUCCCUGGUCAUCCCAUCCCAGGCCCUUGGCUCAAGUCCACCCUCAGCCAUGGCACUGUGUGAGUAUCCGUCUUUUCCUUUCGGCCAGUGUGCCUUGAGCACUUGCAGCGUCCUCAGUCCAUGUCAGUGAGCGGAGUGACUGCAGCCCCUGCGCCCAGCCUGCUCCUCCCCCAGCCCGCCUGGUGGCCCAUGGCUAAGUCUCGGAAGCUAAAUCACUGUGACAGUUUUCAGCAGAAAGAGAUUAAAGACAGAGUCACCAGACGGUCUCAAGGGCGACUCUGCGCCAAGUUCCAGGGCUGCCCCCAGGCACUGAGCAGCCGGGACCCUCACCCAGAGCUGUAACCCCCCCAGACCCCAUGAGCAGAUGCCAGCAGCCUUGCCAGACCUGGGAAGUGCCCUGCACGCCUGCCGCCAGACCAUUCUCCCAGCCUCCAGAGACCAACCCCAAUGUGGCCCAGGUGUGCACGGGCCAGGAAGAGGCUGGACCCCUCUUCCUGGGCUGCAUUCCUGUCCCACUCUUGCCCAUAUUCACACACCUGCUCUUCCACCAUGGAGAGUCUCGUGAUUUUUAGAAGCCAGAUGCUUGACCACUUGUUGCUUUUACACAGCACACAGGGGAAUGCUUCUCCCAGGAAAACUCCUCAACAUCCUUCAAAGCCCCGUCCUGCAAGACUGGGCCUCACCGCCCCCGGAGUAAGCAUUCAGGCCAGCAGGGGAGCAUGUGGCCAGAUGUGUGGACCAGUGUCCUCAGGCCCGGGCCUCCUAGGGGUCCUGCAGAGCUGGAGUUGGCCAACUUGGGAUGUGGAUGGGGAGCCUGGGCAGACUGGGUGCAUGGGUGCCAACUCCUCUGCCCCAGGCUGGCCUGAGAGCCCUUGGCGGUCACUUUCCCUGGACGUUCUGGGCCCCGCCUGCCCCCACUCUCUGUUGGACGCCUGGCAGUCCUGGGAGGAUCUGCCCUGGGCAAUCACGGGGGCGGGCAGGGUCCCCAGUAGUCCAUGUGGGGAGUCCCAUCCUGCUGGCAUUGGGGGCUGGGCCCCUUGGUGACCUGACCCCCUCCACAACGUCCAGGCCUGACGACGCACCAGGAUGUGCUGGUGGGGACGUGGCUGCCAAGAGCGGCCGCCAGCUGGAGGUGUCACUGGCGCCUGCGU